GAUGAAGAACGUAGCGAAAUGCGAUACGUAGUGUGAAUUGCAGAAUCCAGUGAAUCAUCGAAUCUUUGAACGCACAUUGCGCCCGCCAGUAUUCUGGCGGGCAUGCCUGUUCGAGCGUCAUUACAACCCUCAGGCCCCCGGGCCUGGCGUUGGGGAUCGGCGGAAGCCCCCUGUGGGCACACGCCGUCCCUCAAAUACAGUGGCGGUCCCGCCGCAGCUUCCAUUGCGUAGUAGCUAACACCUCGCAACUGGAGAGCGGCGCGGCCAUGCCGUAAAACACCCAACUUCUGAAUGUUGACCUCGAAUCAGGUAGGAAUACCCGCUGAACUUAAGCAUAUCAAUAAGCGGAGGA
rnacentral:misc_RNA from 1 species